GAAUUCUGAGUGACUGCUAAUUCAAUCUUUUUGGAGGACUGCAUAUAAAAAUAUAACUUGAGGUUUUUUCUUACCUUAAAUAUAUGGAUUCAUUUAUUGCCGGAAUUAAUUACACUUACAAGAAAGGCUUGAGCCACAGAGCAGGGUGAGGAUUUACAGUUCUGGAGUGUAAGUAUGAAUGGGAUUGAAGGAUUUACAUGGAGGACUCUGAACUCCUUCCCUUCCUGAGUCAGAAAGGAUAGGUAUGGCAGCAGUAUGACCUUGACAGCUGGCCUGUAAGCUCAUCAGUGGUCAGCAUUUCAAACCCAGCCUAUUUAAAUCCAUUGACUGUUAGAAAUUGAAGCAUCCAAGUCAAGCAAAGGAUAAAAAUAAAGGGGCCUGCUUUGAGACCUACUGAAGCUGUCUUGAAUGAUGUGACAAAUGGCAUGAUGAUGAUGAGGGCAUGAGAUGCAGCACAGCCAGGAGAGCCCCUGGCCCCUGAAUACUACCUUCAGAUGGAGGAGGGAAAAUAACAUCUACAGGCACAGUAAGGAGGACCUGUUUCUUUGUUGUGAACAUUGCUGAGUUUAACUGGCAAAAGAUAUUCUCUAUGUCUGAAUCAGCAUGUGUCUGCAGCCUUGUGCACAAAACCUACUAGAGUCCCAGUGAGGGGAAAAACAACUUGUAAGGAACUAGUUAGUGCCCAAAGCACAAGUCCUCAGUAUUGGCUUCUGCAGAAAGUCCAAGGCUGCAAUUCCACGUGACUCCAAAAGGUAAUGUCUUCACUUUGCUACAAGAUGCAGAUGGAUCACUCUUUGCCAGCUUUCAAGGCAAAUAUUGCCAUAUAGUCCUUGCCCUCAGCAACAUCCUCAGUGUCCUGGUGAUGGGUGCUUUGAAAGGAUUGGGCAGAACAGACAUCAUGCUGCCUCUGCACAUCAGGCUGUCUGUUCUGUUGCAUUUUUGGAGGGGGACCAAAAGGAAUGGAAGAGCAGCAUCAGUCUCUGAAUAGCAAAUCUUAUUUUCUCCAUGCAAUAGUUCUUCAAGAAUGAAACAGUAGCGGGACUUGCAGCUUUGUGCCACUGUGAGAUGAACUGCAUUUUGCAUCAUUGUCUUCACCUUCACAUCUGGGGUUGAUGUCUUCACCUCGCCUCUGUAACUAGCCCUGAGGCACAUGUUGUCUCAUAUCCACACGCCUUCUGUCAUGUUUCAUUAUUGAAUUAAUAAAAACCAUGUUCAGAAAAUGGGA